GUCAGCUGCCUACUGGAUUUGAUAGUUCAUAGUUUGCACAGCCACAAAGAAGUGUUUCUUCAUGAGUUUGUAAGGAUCCCACUACUUCCAGCAAUUGCCAAGAUGAUGAUGAUGAUACUGUAGAUAAGUGAUUCUCUCUCUUUUUUUUGGUGUUUUAUAUAUGAUGUAUCCUUUUGUAUUUUCUCUAUAACUUGUUCUGGUUGUAAUGGACAUUCAUUAAUCUUACAAUGUAAAAACUUGUCAUUUUGAUAUGCAAUACAAAUAUCUUU